UUUAUGGGGUGACUGCGUACCUUUUGUAUAAUGGGUCAGCGACUUAUAUUCUGUAGCAAGGUUAACCGAAUAGGGGAGCCGAAGGGAAACCGAGUCUUAACUGGGCGUUAAGUUGCAGGGUAUAGACCCGAAACCCGGUGAUCUAGCCAUGGGCAGGUUGAAGGUUGGGUAACACUAACUGGAGGACCGAACCGACUAAUGUUGAAAAAUUAGCGGAUGACUUGUGGCUGGGGGUGAAAGGCCAAUCAAACCGGGAGAUAGCUGGUUCUCCCCGAAAGCUAUUUAGGUAGCGCCUCGUGAAUUCAUCUCCGGGGGUAGAGCACUGUUUCGGCAAGGGGGUCAUCCCGACUUACCAACCCGAUGCAAACUGCGAAUACCGGAGAAUGUUAUCACGGGAGACACACGGCGGGUGCUAACGUCCGUCGUGAAGAGGGAAACAACCCAGACCGCCAGCUAAGGUCCCAAAGUCAUGGUUAAGUGGGAAACGAUGUGGGAAGGCCCAGACAGCCAGGAUGUUGGCUUAGAAGCAGCCAUCAUUUAAAGAAAGCGUAAUAGCUCACUGGUCGAGUCGGCCUGCGCGGAAGAUGUAACGGGGCUAAACCAUGCACCGAAGCUGCGGCAGCGACACUAUGUGUUGUUGGGUAGGGGAGCGUUCUGUAAGCCUGUGAAGGUGUACUGUGAGGUAUGCUGGAGGUAUCAGAAGUGCGAAUGCUGACAUAAGUAACGAUAAAGCGGGUGAAAAGCCCGCUCGCCGGAAGACCAAGGGUUCCUGUCCAACGUUAAUCGGGGCAGGGUGAGUCGACCCCUAAGGCGAGGCCGAAAGGCGUAGUCGAUGGGAAACAGGUUAAUAUUCCUGUACUUGGUGUUACUGCGAAGGGGGGACGGAGAAGGCUAUGUUGGCCGGGCGACGGUUGUCCCGGUUUAAGCGUGUAGGCUGGUUUUCCAGGCAAAUCCGGAAAAUCAAGGCUGAGGCGUGAUGACGAGGCACUACGGUGCUGAAGCAACAAAUGCCCUGCUUCCAGGAAAAGCCUCUAAGCAUCAGGUAACAUCAAAUCGUACCCCAAACCGACACAGGUGGUCAGGUAGAGAAUACCAAGGCGCUUGAGAGAACUCGGGUGAAGGAACUAGGCAAAAUGGUGCCGUAACUUCGGGAGAAGGCACGCUGAUAUGUAGGUGAAGCGACUUGCUCGUGGAGCUGAAAUCAGUCGAAGAUACCAGCUGGCUGCAACUGUUUAUUAAAAACACAGCACUGUGCAAACACGAAAGUGGACGUAUACGGUGUGACGCCUGCCCGGUGCCGGAAGGUUAAUUGAUGGGGUUAGCGGUAACGCGAAGCUCUUGAUCGAAGCCCCGGUAAACGGCGGCCGUAACUAUAACGGUCCUAAGGUAGCGAAAUUCCUUGUCGGGUAAGUUCCGACCUGCACGAAUGGCGUAAUGAUGGCCAGGCUGUCUCCACCCGAGACUCAGUGAAAUUGAACUCGCUGUGAAGAUGCAGUGUACCCGCGGCAAGACGGAAAGACCCCGUGAACCUUUACUAUAGCUUGACACUGAACAUUGAGCCUUGAUGUGUAGGAUAGGUGGGAGGCUUUGAAGUGUGGACGCCAGUCUGCAUGGAGCCGGCCUUGAAAUACCACCCUUUAAUGUUUGAUGUUCUAACGUUGGCCCCUGACCGGGGUUGCGGACAGUGUCUGGUGGGUAGUUUGACUGGGGCGGUCUCCUCCUAAAGAGUAACGGAGGAGCACGAAGGUUGGCUAAUCCUGGUCGGACAUCAGGAGGUUAGUGCAAUGGCAUAAGCCAGCUUGACUGCGAGCGUGACGGCGCGAGCAGGUGCGAAAGCAGGUCAUAGUGAUCCGGUGGUUCUGAAUGGAAGGGCCAUCGCUCAACGGAUAAAAGGUACUCCGGGGAUAACAGGCUGAUACCGCCCAAGAGUUCAUAUCGACGGCGGUGUUUGGCACCUCGAUGUCGGCUCAUCACAUCCUGGGGCUGAAGUAGGUCCCAAGGGUAUGGCUGUUCGCCAUUUAAAGUGGUACGCGAGCUGGGUUUAGAACGUCGUGAGACAGUUCGGUCCCUAUCUGCCGUGGGCGCUGGAGAACUGAGGGGGGCUGCUCCUAGUACGAGAGGACCGGAGUGGACGCAUCACUGGUGUUCGGGUUGUCAUGCCAAUGGCACUGCCCGGUAGCUAAAUGCGGAAGAGAUAAGUGCUGAAAGCAUCUAAGCACGAAACUUGCCCCGAGAUGAGUUCUCCCUGACUCCUUGAGAGUCCUGAAGGAACGUUGAAGACGACGACGUUGAUAGGCCGGGUGUGUAAGCGCAGCGAUGCGUUGAGCUAACCGGUACUAAUGAACCGUGAGGCUUAACCUU
rnacentral:rRNA from 1 species